rnacentral:lncRNA from 1 species
UUUCACGUCAUCGGGUAGUUCAAGAGUCGUCAAUCUACAACCAUCCCUUAGAGAAGAAGACCUGAUUCACAAAACGUUGAGACAUUUUGACUGGAGUUUACUCUGCUCUGACUCUCCUACAAAAUCAUUGGAUCAGAUAAUUGAAACUGAUCUGAUAAAGCCAUGUCUUUGGUCAGAUUUUGGUGGUGAAUCUGAAGGCAUUGUGUCUGACCUUGUGGAAAAGAUUCUGCAACAAGUGUUACUUGAAUUCGCCCAUGAGCUAAGAACAAUGCAGAGGAGCCUAUUAUGUGGAUUAAUCUAAUUAC